UCUUCCCUCUUUCUUCGUGCUUAACACAUGCAAGUCGAACGGUGAAGGCGGAGCUUGCUCUGCUGGAUCAGUGGCGAACGGGUGAGUAACACGUGAGCAAUCUGCCCCUGACUCUGGGAUAAGCGCUGGAAACGGCGUCUAAUACUGGAUACGAGCUGCGAAGGCAUCUUCAGCAGCUGGAAAGAACUUCGGUCAGGGAUGAGCUCGCGGCCUAUCAGCUUGUUGGUGAGGUAACGGCUCACCAAGGCGUCGACGGGUAGCCGGCCUGAGAGGGUGACCGGCCACACUGGGACUGAGACACGGCCCAGACUCCUACGGGAGGCAGCAGUGGGGAAUAUUGCACAAUGGGCGAAAGCCUGAUGCAGCAACGCCGCGUGAGGGACGACGGCCUUCGGGUUGUAAACCUCUUUUAGCAGGGAAGAAGCGAAAGUGACGGUACCUGCAGAAAAAGCGCCGGCUAACUACGUG
rnacentral:rRNA from 1 species